AACGAACGCUGGCGGCAUGCCUAACACAUGCAAGUCGAACGAACCCUUCGGGGUGAGUGGCGCACGGGUGCGUAACACGUGGGAACCUGCCCUUAGGUUCGGAAUAACACAGAGAAAUUUGUGCUAAUACCGGAUAAUGUCUUCGGACCAAAGAUUUAUCGCCUUUGGAUGGGCCCGCGUAGGAUUAGCUAGUUGGUGAGGUAAAGGCUCACCGAGGCGACGAUCCUUAGCUGGUGUGAGAGGAUGAUCAGCGACACUGGGACUGGGACACGGCCCAGACUCCUACGGGAGGCAGCAGUGGGGAAUAUUGGACAAUGGGCGAAAGCCUGAUCCAGCAAUGCCGCGUGAGUGAUGAAGGCCUUAGGGUUGUAAAGCUCUUUUACCUGGGAUGAUAAUGACAGUACCAGGAGAAUAAGCCCCGGCUAACUCCGUGCCAGCCGCCGCCGUAAUAC
rnacentral:rRNA from 1 species